rnacentral:rRNA from 1 species
GACGAACGCUGGCGGCGCGCCUAACACAUGCAAGUCGAACGAGCAAUGGAGAGCUUGCUUUCCAGAGCGAGUGGCGAACGGGUGAGUAACGCGUGAGGAACCUGCCUCAAAGAGGGGGACAACAGUUGGAAACGACUGCUAAUACCGCAUAAGCCCACGGGUCGGCAUCGACCAGAGGGAAAAGGAGCAAUCCGCUUUGAGAUGGCCUCGCGUCCGAUUAGCUAGUUGGUGAGGUAAUGGCCCACCAAGGCAACGAUCGGUAGCCGGACUGAGAGGUUGAACGGCCACAUUGGGACUGAGACACGGCCCAGACUCCUACGGGAGGCAGCAGUGGGGAAUAUUGCACAAUGGGGGAAACCCUGAUGCAGCGACGCCGCGUGGAGGAAGAAGGUCUUCGGAUUGUAAACUCCUGUUGUUGGGGAAGAUAAUGACGGUACCCAACAAGGAAGUGACGGCUAACUACGUGCCAGCAGCCGCGGUAAAACGUAGGUCACAAGCGUUGUCCGGAAUUACUGGGUGUAAAGGGAGCGCAGGCGGGAAGACAAGUUGGAAGUGAAAUCUAUGGGCUCAACCCAUAAACUGCUUUCAAAACUGUUUUUCUUGAGUAGUGCAGAGGUAGGCGGAAUUCCCGGUGUAGCGGUGGAAUGCGUAGAUAUCGGGAGGAACACCAGUGGCGAAGGCGGCCUACUGGGCACCAACUGACGCUGAGGCUCGAAAGUGUGGGUAGCAAACAGGAUUAGAUACCCUGGUAGUCCACACCGUAAACGAUGAUUACUAGGUGUUGGAGGAUUGACCCCUUCAGUGCCGCAGUUAACACAAUAAGUAAUCCACCUGGGGAGUACGACCGCAAGGUUGAAACUCAAAGGAAUUGACGGGGGCCCGCACAAGCAGUGGAGUAUGUGGUUUAAUUCGACGCAACGCGAAGAACCUUACCAAGUCUUGACAUCCCUUGACAGACAUAGAAAUAUGUUUUCUCUUCGGAGCAAGGAGACAGGUGGUGCAUGGUUGUCGUCAGCUCGUGUCGUGAGAUGUUGGGUUAAGUCCCGCAACGAGCGCAACCCUUAUGGUCAGUUACUACGCAAGAGGACUCUGGCCAGACUGCCGUUGACAAAACGGAGGAAGGUGGGGAUGACGUCAAACCAUCAUGCCCUUUAUGACUUGGGCUACACACGUACUACAAUGGCGUUAAACAAAGAGAAGCAAGACCGCGAGGUGGAGCAAAACUCAGAAACAACGUCCCAGUUCGGACUGCAGGCUGCAACUCGCCUGCACGAAGUCGGAAUUGCUAGUAAUCGUGGAUCAGCAUGCCACGGUGAAUACGUUCCCGGGCCUU